GAGGCGGUUAUUUUUCGUCACUCUUUCCAGAGACGUGACAAAGCCUGAAUCUUUGCCUGCUACAGCUUCCUGCAAUACACACAAGCAGCUAGAGAGAGUAAGUCACGUUUCGCUGAGCGGACACAAGAUCGGAUCAAUGCGAAGCAGAGCCUAAGAAAAUAACAAGGUAUUGUUCAGCAACACGGAUAACUGAAAAAGUAAACCUCUGAAAAAAGAAAGAAAGAAAGAAAGAAAGGCGAAUUUCUUCAUAGAACGAUCCGACGCUUUCUGGGUGCGCCUGCCAGGCUGGAUGGGCCACGUUUUCUGCUCCAAACCCCACAAAAGCCCCACAACUGGAUGCGAGCGUGUCAGCUUGCCAGACAAUUAGAACUGGAUUGCAGAAUGGUUCAGGGACGAAGAUAUUA